UACGGAGGGGGCUAGCGUUGUUCGGAAUUACUGGGCGUAAAGGGCGCGUAGGCGGAUUGUUAAGUCGGGGGUGAAAUCCCGGGGCUCAACCCCGGAACUGCCUUCGAUGCUGGCAAUCUGGAGUUCGAGAGAGGUGAGUGGAAUUCCGAGUGUAGAGGUGAAAUUCGUAGAUAUUCGGAGGAACACCAGUGGCGAAGGCGGCUCACUGGCUCGAUACUGACGAUGAGGUGCGAAAGCGUGGUGAGCAUACAGG
rnacentral:rRNA from 1 species